rnacentral:misc_RNA from 1 species
GCCGGCCUCUUCGCUUUUCUCACGCCCCUCUCCCGCUCCUGCAUCGAUCGCAGUGCCUUUGGUUUCCUGUGCUUUUUCCGAGCCUUGCGUGCACACCUUCUGCCCUGCCGGUGCCGGUCGCGGAAUGGAGGAGUUUCACUACGAAGAAGUCCAGUUGUCGGAGAUGACGCUGGAGGACGGCGUGUUGCGCUUCCCUUGCCCCUGCGGCGAUUUGUUCGAGCUCCUUCUGGAAGAUUUCAUCAGUGGCAGCGAUGUGGCGCAGUGCCCCACCUGCUCUCUCACAAUCAAGGUGCUCUUCACCAAGGAAGAGAAGAACCACUUCCUGGCGCUAAACACCGUCGGUGCUGUUUGUGCUGCUGCGGCGUAGUGGCUGCGCACUCCUCAGCCACGCUGCCCCGCUUUUCCAAUAGCCGCUCUCUCGAUUUUGUUGUGCUGCUGCUUGCUUCUCAUGGUUUCCGACCGCUUUUUCACGCCGCUCUUAGCUCAUCAUGCACGGCUUCGGCGCUUGCGGACAUCUGGGGUGAUGGCGCCUCCGCGUGCCAGCGUUGAACCGGUGCUGCCGCUGGGACACUACGUCACCGUUCUUGUCGUUUGUUCCUCUUUCUCACCUUUCUUUAAACGCUCAGCUUGUCGAGCUUCGACCUUGCUCUCGCCCUCUCGGUUUUGUGCGUAUUCUCGUGUGCGCCUAGGUGCUUGGGCGGCGCUUGCUGUGAUUUGCACGCCUCACUGGAGCCGAUGCUGGCGCGCUCACGGUGACGCGUGCGCGUGCGUGAGCUCGGGAGGGGGUCGACGAAAACGCAGUUGCUGCCUACCUGAGUGUACUUGGCUGCAGGUGCGAGGCCACCGUGCUCACUGCUUUUCUUCGAAUUACGCCGGAAGUGCCCACGCGUGAAGCAGACCUAUUUUGCUUGCCCCCUCUUUUCAGUCCUCCUAUAUGUGCGACGACGCUAAAGUGUUGCGGUGCUCGUUUCUUCUGUCUAGUGUCCGAUACCUUGUUUUGGCUGUUGUGUGACCUUUUCCUUUUUUUUGCCACGUUGGGUGCUGCCACGUGUAAAGUGUGCGUAUAACAGCGCCAACACCCGCCACGACGUUCUCUCCUGCUUCCCGGGGACAGGAGCGAGGCUAAUAGGGAGAGGACGGGGCGGCGCCUUUCUCUAACCGUAAAGCUCAAGACAUGCAGACGAGAAGGAGUCGCCCACCUCUCUCCGCGGACGCCCGCCCAUGUUCACUCUGCUCUGUGCCCCGCAUGCGUCUGUGACGCUGUCAGCGGCGGUGCGGCGCCAGUGGACUGCUCUGGUGCUGCUAGUAUGUGCAGCGAGGACACCGCAGCGAACCACAGCACAGACGGGAGCUUACCCGUCAUACGGUGCGCGCGCUCUUGGUUCGCCCCCCUCACCCACGUAACUCUCAAGCAGCGGUGUUGUGUGCGCAUGCGUUGCCGCGACGCUUCUCGCGCGUUGCGAUUUUUUGAUGCACGCUUCCCGGAUUCGGCUUCUCGUCCUUCUCCCCUCCGCCGCUUCGCCGUUACGCGCAGCUGGCGCGUCGGGCUGAAGGACGUGCGGAGCGGGGUGAUAGGAGUGGCCGUGCGUGCCUAUCAUCUUCCCUCCUCUACAGUAGAGCAUGCUUUCCUUUUCUUCACAUGACGCCUACUCUCGUGCCGUAUGGCCAG